rnacentral:misc_RNA from 1 species
GAGAAGAACGCAGCGAAAUGCGAUAAGUAAUGUGAAUUGCAGAAUUCAGUGAAUCAUCGAAUCUUUGAACGCACAUUGCGCCCGCCAGUAUUCUGGCGGGCAUGCCUGUUCGAGCGUCAUUACAACCCUCAGGCCCCCGGGCCUGGCGUUGGGGAUCGGCGGAAGCCCCCUGCGGGCACAACGCCGUCCCCCAAAUACAGUGGCGGUCCCGCCGCAGCUUCCAUUGCGUAGUAGCUAACACCUCGCAACUGGAGAGCGGCGCGGCCACGCCGUAAAACACCCAACUUCUGAAUGUUGACCUCGAAUCAGGUAGGAAUACCCGCUGAACUUAAGCAUAUCAAUAAGCGGAGGA